AGUCUGACCUGCCCUAUGAAUAAUUGUUUUUAAAUGGCUGCGGUACUCUGACCGUGCAAAGGUAGCAUAAUAAUUAGUUUUUUAAUUGGGAACUGGUAUGAAAGGUCGAACGAGAAAAAGACUGUCUCAAUUUAAUUUAAAUUAGAAUUUUAUUUUUAAGUUAAAAAGCUUAAAUAAUUUUAAAAGACGAGAAGACCCUAUAGAGUUUUAUAUAAUUUAAUAUUUUUGAAAGUUAAAGAAUUUUAGAUUUAAUCAUUUUAAAUUAUAUUUGGUUGGGGCAAUUAAAAAAUUAAAAGAAUUUUUUUUAAAAUUAUUACAUUGAUAUAUGAUUAAGUGAUCCAUAUUUUAUGAUUAAAAGAUUAAAUUACCUUAGGGAUAACAGCGUAAUUUUUUUUAGAGUUCUUAUCGAAAAAAGAGUUUGCGACCUCGAUGUUGGAUUAAAAUUUACUUUUGGCGCAGGAACUAAAAGGAUUAGGUCUGUUCGACCUUUAAAAUUUU
rnacentral:rRNA from 1 species